GGGCUAAGAGCCUCGUCAGGCCUGGGCUAUGGGAGAUUUUAGAACAACGCAUAGAAUCUUUACUGUCCAAUCACAAAAGCUGCACAUUCACUUAACUUACAUACGCUUGUGAUGCGUUCUGCCGUUUUAAUAAAUACAUUUAUACUAUUUCAUCUAUCAGAGGACGAAAACUAAAAAUAAAUAAAAACAAUACGUUCAUCUAUGCAAAAACAUUUGGUUUCUAUGGCUAAUAAAAAUAAUAAUACAAAUAAAUCAUAAAAUUGGUUGCUCUGCCGGCUGGCUAACUUCUUCUCACUGAGCUAGCCAACCGAAGCCACAAACUCUACAGCUGGAAGGGCAUCAAGCUCUUUCCUCUGUUUUCACAUUAGACAUGUACUUGGAUUAUGGCUAUCCCAUGACAAUAAAAUAUUGUUGCAUGAUUUCGCCUGGAUCAGAAACGUUGAUGUCUCGUCUCUUGCACAGAAUUCUCUGUACAGGGCGCGAGAUCGCAUUUCAAAAGAGAAACAGUUUAUUCCCCCCCAGGCAGGCGGACAGCGAGGUUUAAACAAGUCAUCACUAAAAGCUUGUGUGAACCGUGAAGACAGGAUAAACUGGUCCAGGGUCAGUCUUAGCCUGGGGCUAAGAUCACUGCAGUGUGAAAAAGCUUAUAGCAUUGGAUUCAUUAACAACAAUAGCAUCUGUAAAGAAAAACAUAUAACCAGCAGAAAUGGCAUAUAUAUAUAUAUAUAUAUAUAUAAAUAAACAUCCACAACACUCACCCCUUUGAAGAACAGAGUUAGAAGGUGAAAAUGGGCAUCCCUGACGCCUAAAUUACCAACUAAAGGAAACCGUCCAUAUUUAACCAGUCAAACUGUGCGUCCCAAAUGGGACCCUAUUGGCAUUAUAGGGGAAUAGAGAAUGUGGGAAAAUAAGGAACAGGGUGCCACUAUAUAGGGCAUAGGGUGCCACUAUAUAGGGAAUAGGGUGCCAUCAUAUAGGGAACAGGGUGCCAUCAUAUAGGGAAUAGGGUGCCAUCAUAUAGGGAAUAGGGUGCCAUCAUAUAGGGAAUAGGGUGCCAUCAUAUAGGGAAUAGGGUGCCAUCAUAUAGGGAAUAGGGUGCCAUC
ensembl:lncRNA